GAUGAGGAACGUAGCGAAAUGCGAUAAGUAAUGUGAAUUGCAGAAUUCAGUGAAUCAUCGAAUCUUUGAACGCACAUUGCGCCCGCCAGUAUUCUGGCGGGCAUGCCUGUUCGAGCGUCAUUUCAACCAUCAAGCCCUGCUUGCGUUGGGGUCCUGCGGCUGCCCGCAGGCCCUGAAAACCAGUGGCGGGCUCGCUAGUCACACCGAGCGCAGUAAUACAUCUCGCUUUGGGCGUGCGGCGGGUUCUUGCCGUUAAACACCCCCUUUUUACCAAGGUUGACCUCGGAUCAGGUAGGAAUACCCGCUGAACUUAAGCAUAUCAAUAAGCGGAGGA
rnacentral:misc_RNA from 1 species